AGCAUGGUGUAGUGGCUUGAGUGUUGGACUAGGACUCCAGGAGUCCAGGGAUCAAAUUCCUGCUUUGCUG
rnacentral:tRNA from 1 species